rnacentral:RNase_P_RNA from 1 species
CUGACUGCCUGCAGUUAGAGGAAAGUCCAUGCUCGCACGUCCUGCGAUGGACGUAGUGUUUGUGCUGGCUGAAUCAAUAAGGCCAGGCAGAGAAAUCUGACGGCCGGUAAUUCGCCUAAGGGAAACUAUGGCGGAACCGUUAAUGUGCCACAGAGACGAGCGCUGAAGAAAUUCAGCGGAUGGAACGGGUAAACCCCACAAGCGAGAAACCCAAAUUUGGUAGGGGAA